UGCCAGCCGCCGCGGUAAUACGGAGGGUGCAAGCGUUGUUCGGAAUUAUUGGGCGUAAGGCGCGUGUAGGCGGUUCGUUAAGUCUGAUGUGAAAGCCCGGGGCUCAACCCCGGAAGUGCAUUGGAAACUGGCGAACUUGAGUACGGGAGAGGAAAGUGGAAUUCCGAGUGUAGGGGUGAAAUCCGUAGAUAUUCGGAGGAACACCAGUGGCGAAGGCGGCUUUCUGGACCGAUACUGACGCUCAUGUGCGAAAGUGUGGGUAGCGAACAGGAUUAGAUA
rnacentral:rRNA from 1 species